GAACUUAAGCAUAUCAAUAAGCGGAGGAAAAGAAACCAACAGGGAUUGCUUCAGUAACGGCGAGUGAAGCGNCAACAGCUCAAAUUUGAAAUCUGGCUUUUUGGGGCCCGAGUUGUAAUUUGCAGAGGAUGUUUCGGGUGCGGCACCGUUCUAAGUUCCUUGGAACAGGGCGUCAUAGAGGGUGAGAAUCCCGUACGUGACCGGUCGCCAACCCCAUGUGAAACUCCUUCGACGAGUCGAGUUGUUUGGGAAUGCAGCUCAAAAUGGGUGGUAAAUUUCAUCUAAAGCUAAAUACUGGCCAGAGACCGAUAGCGCACAAGUAGAGUGAUCGAAAGAUGAAAAGCACUUUGGAAAGAGAGUUAAAAAGUACGUGAAAUUGUUGAAAGGGAAGCGCUUGCAGCCAGACUCGCCCGGGGGUGAUCAGCCUACCUUCUGGCAGGUGUACUUUCCCCCGGCCGGGCCAGCAUCGGUUCGGGCGGCCGGAUAAAGGUUUCGGGAACGUAGCUCCUCUCGGGGAGUGUUAUAGCCCGGGGCGUAAUGCGGCCAGCCUGGACCGAGGACCGCGCUUUUGCUUAGGAUGCUGGCAUAAU
rnacentral:rRNA from 1 species